AUUGAACGCUGGCGGCAGGCUUAACACAUGCAAGUCGAGCGGGGGAGGUUGCUUCGGUAACUGACCUAGCGGCGGACGGGUGAGUAAUGCUUAGGAAUCUGCCUAUUAGUGGGGGACAACAUUCCGAAAGGGAUGCUGAUACCGCAUACGCCCUACGGGGGAAAACAGGGGAUCUUCGGACCUUGCGCUAAUAGAUGAGCCUAAGUCGGAUUAGCUAGUUGGUGGGGUAAAGGCCUACCAAGGCGACGAUCUGUAGCGGGUCUGAGAGGAUGAUCCGCCACACUGGGAAUGAGACACGGCCCAGACUCCUACGGGAGGCAGCAGUGGGGAAUAUUGGACAAUGGGCGGAAGCCUGAUCCAGCCAUGCCGCGUGUGUGAAGAAGGCCUUUUGGUUGUAAAGCACUUUAAGCGAGGAGGAGGCUACUAGUACUAAUACUACUGGAUAGUGGACGUUACUCGCAGAAUAAGCACCGGCUAACUCUGUGCCAGCCGCCGCAGUAACAC
rnacentral:rRNA from 1 species